rnacentral:lncRNA from 1 species
GUGUGCGCUACUAGGUAGACUGUGAGAGCUAGAAAUCCCGACGGUUCACAUCCGUUCCACCAGAGACCUGCCUGUGGCAAGAGCUGACCUCUUAGCUGUCUCCUCUGUGCUUAGGCCUCUCGGGAUUCAAAUGAGGAGGUUCAUACUGCCUCCUGAAGGAACACAGUGCUUUUAUUUUCUAAGAGAAGAUUAAAGUUAUAUACAAAUGCAGCCAUUUAAAAUGAUAGUACCGACAGUAUUAAACAAUGUGCUUUCUCUAUUUUUCAUAGUUCAGAAGAUGCAAAGGCUCCACAAAAGAAGCACAAAGUUCUUUUGCAACAGUUCAACACAGGUGAUGAAAGAUCCCAGAAGCGCCAGCCCAUCCGCGGCUCUGAUGAAGGUAAGAAUUUUCUUCCACCUCACGGUCGUGUAGAUUAUUUAAAGUCAGAAUAACAUCUUCUUCCUGGGAAUCAUCCCCUUGGACCCACAGAACAGCUUCUCUUGGCUGUCCCUUUGCACUCCAAAUGGUUUGCUUGGAGGUGCAUUCCAGUUAUUUAUGUUCUUGAACUCUGUGCCUGGAGCUGAAGUGCCCACAUUUCACUGAUUCGGCCCCACCCCCACUGCCACCUUUCCUUGAUGGAAAGAUUAUCUCAGGGAUCCACUGUUCAGGUGGGAGGAGGGUGGCUGGUACUUUGAAGAUGCCUUGGAGGUGAAGCAGCGGGGUCACCUGUAAAGCAGGAUUUCUGCCCUGGGACCACGCCCUGACCCUGAGACAACCUUGUUAGAGCCAUCAGGGAGGUACAGAUGCUGGCUGUUACUGUUUGCUUGGAUAAGAUUUUUCCAAAGAAAAUAAAAUUAAUAAUAAUGAUCAAAUCUUCAUUUUAAGCCACAGAUGACUCUUGUAAUUUAGGAGAAUUUGGGAGUACCCCAGAUUCAAGAAUUGCAGUAGCUGGAAUUGCUUCCAGGAUUUGGGUGUUGAGAGGUGAACCUGUAAAUGCCAUCUAUGGGUCUGCUGAGCUCAACUUCUGAGCUCUGUGGCCCGGCCUCAGAGUGUACAAACCAGCGAACAAAGGAACAGGGAUGUCGGUGAACGUUCACGGCCUCUGGCAGAAGCACUCCCAUGUGCAGGGAUGUCGAUGUUGGUGCCCCGCCACUGCACCAGGCAAUAAGAAUCUACUGGUCAACCUACAGCACAACGCCUCCUGUAUGGUAAAAAAGAAAGGCUCGCAGGAGUUCCCCUUGUGGCUCAGUGGUAAU